rnacentral:rRNA from 1 species
AACGAACGCUGGCGGCAUGCCUAACACAUGCAAGUCGAACGAGACCUUCGGGUCUAGUGGCGCACGGGUGCGUAACGCGUGGGAACCUGCCCUUAGGUUCGGAAUAACUCCCCGAAAGGGGUGCUAAUACCGGAUAAUGUCUUCGGACCAAAGAUUUAUCGCCUUUGGAUGGGCCCGCGUUGGAUUAGCUAGUUGGUAGGGUAAAAGCCUACCAAGGCGACGAUCCAUAGCUGGUCUGAGAGGAUGAUCAGCCACACUGGGACUGAGACACGGCCCAGACCCCUCGGGGAGGCAGCAGGGGGGAAUAGUGGAAAAGGGGCGAAGGCUGGAUCCAGCAAUGCCGGGUGAGUGAUGAAGGCUUUAGGGUUGAAAAGCUUUUUUACCCGGGAUGAUAAUGACAGUACCGGGAGAAUAAGCCCCGGCUAACCCCGUC